UAAAGACCAGAAUCGUAGUGAGUGUUUCCAAACAUGGCAUCUGGUGGUCGAAAUGUGAAGUUUGCUUGCUCUUUGCAGCUUUUUUAAAAGUGAUUUGCACUCUGCACUCUGCACUCUGCACUUUUGCAGUAGCAGUACCCCGAUGGUGAGGUUGAUGUGUGGUCGGCAUUUUCGAAUGAUCAAAACCAAGUCGGUUGAUUUUUCAAAAACCAUCCUGACAUGGUUAUUUCAAUCCUGAGUAGGUAGGAUGAAUUCUCCUCAAUGUGCCUUUCCUGUCGCAGCAUUUAUUUGUUUCUAUGCAGCUAGAGUUUAAUUUUCAAGUGACUUCUGAGUUGCUUCAUAUGAUUACUAAGACCAGUAUGUGCCUACUCACAGUUCACCUGUCCAGUAUUGGCAAUUAUGGGAUUCCUGAAAGCCAUCUUCCUUUAUGGAGCAACAUGUCCCGAUGACAGAAGAUUUUGAUUUUUGGGUUGGAUCUGGCAACGUUUUCUAGUGUAUCCAUUAUCCUGGUGCGGUAUCAAGUGGAAUGGAAGUACAGCAGCACAUUACAACGAAAACUAUUGAAUUUCCAGACUUAGUUUUUUCCAAGGAAUUCACCGUUUCUUAGUUUUUUCCAAGGAAUUCACCGUUUUUUACCAGUGAGGAUAUGAUUAUUGCAGUUCUUGUUACCAUUGCAGCAGCUGUUUUCUUGUCAUGUACACACCGCAAUAUCUCCUUCACUAGUAACCUCCAGAUGGGUUUCAUAAUUGUUUGAUCUCUUACCAUGGAUGUUGAAGUCGACCCUGGUGUGUCGGUCUGCAGCAAGGCCCCCGACCUAUGGAGAAGCCCCAACCCUAACCCAACCAAGAAGAAGCAAAGAUCAAUUGCGUUGCGUCUGGCACACUUAGACCCUGAACAGAACACUUGGCGCCAUAAGUGGCUGACUCAAAAGUACAAUCCCAGAAUUGACUGAAGCAUUACCUAAGCUCUGUGGAAUCCCACCUGGUAACAUGAUUGUAGCAUUCGUUCGUCAAGCCUUCACGAACGAAAGCAGCAAUUAUGAAAUCAGCAUUAGCAAAGCAGCUUGAGCGUGAUGUUAUGCUAUAAGUGCUCAGUUGUAUUGAUUGCUAUGGAUCUACGUAUGAGCUACCGGAAAUGCUUGGGACACCGAACGCUUGCUGUGUUCGGUGUUCCCUUCAUUAGUCAAGUGUCUUGGGAAGAAUAAUUCAUGGGGCUUCUAAAUUGCCCUAUGCCCUACAAAACGAGCGACUAACCAUACCUAGUAGGCGACGUCAGGAUCGUAUAUUUAUCAAGGGCAAUGACCACCUCCUGAGUGGUUUUACGUACAAAUCGGAUGUAUUCGGAUUGGAGUUGGCUGGUUGCUUGAAAAAAGAAGAUUUCAGUCGUCACCUUGGGUUGCAUUGUAUUGAUUGGUGCAUAGCAGAUACUAUGUCUUUAGAUACAAAUAACAUGCCAUAGCCUUUGUGGCCUAAUGGAUAAGGCACCGGCUUCCUAAGCCGUGGAUUGGAACUUCAUUUCUCGCCAGAGAUAUUUAUAUCGGUGUGUAAUACUAGGCCAAAGCAGCGUAACGAAAUAUGUUUUAUAUAGAGUUACUCUCGAUUACUUAAAUAAGGUUGCAUAAUUUAGAUCUAUUGCAAAAAGAAGACGAAGACUAAAACCACAAACGCUGGAACAAAAUCUAUUUAUUGUAUCAGUAUCAGGGAAAAGGCGUCGCAUCAAAUAGAAAAGGAGUUGAUUCGAUAUCCUGCGGAAUCCCUGUUUGCUUCAUGUAAGACGUUUGAGAGUCGGGAACAAGAGAUAGUAGCCAUUUUGAUUGAUAAUACCUUUUGUUUCUUGACGACUUUUGCGUUAAUAAGCGAAGAUGUUCGGGAACAAGACUCGUGAAAAGCUUUUGGACAUGUGGAAAGAUUAAUGUAAAGAAAAACUCGGGGCAAGUUUGGAGGGAUUGUAGGAAGGAUUGCACAACUAACGUUCAUCGAUUCAUCUUCUAAUUACGGUGUUCUUAUGCUUCCGUCGUUUUUCAAAUUCUCAUAACUUCGCGAAAUUCGUUUUUGACCAGUUGACUACAAUUGGGUUUCGUUUUGCGUUACUAAUGUUUACCUAACGCCUGCUUUUAUCUAAAUCACGUGAACGGGAAUUUUGAAUAAAAAAGAAAUACAGAGAGAAAUCAAAUUGGAAAUCUCGAAGAAAAGUUUGCUUCGUUAUUAGUGGCAGAUUGAUUAGGCUGGAUUGCUAAGCUAGAAUCCUUCCUGCAUGAUAAAAUUUGGAAUGCGACAGUGGACCCCCCGACACCAGAAAUAUGAGAGCUCCCAUCCCAUGGAAUUCUCUGUCGAAAUGUUAUCCAGAAAUGUUUGAAACUUCGUAUUAGGGCCAUUGACAUUAUUUAACGAGGAUGUGGCUACAACAGUUCCCUGACGACAACCGCAUUCGCAGUUGCACCCCAAGAUGUUGCAACGUUCAACCCCCCAGUACGGAGUUCCAGCUGUGCCAUCACGACAACAGCAUUUGGUAACCUUGUAGCAACAAUCGGCACCCACCAGUCCACAUGUAAUAGCGAAAAUAGCGAAAACAACAGAGAUGCUGCACAUGGCGUGGCGAAAACAGACUAUCAAAACGGGUUGUUCGAAAGUAGAAAGCAGUCUACCAUUAAAGGUAAGGCAUUUAUCUAAUGAAAUAUUAAUAAAUUGCAUUUCAGUCAAGUUUGCUAGGCUGGAAAAAAUUCCUUUCGAAUGUGGGGUCCGUGAUGGAUAUUGCAAGAGAAACAUUCUGCAUUCAUGUGUUUUGUGUUUUUUUCUUAUUCGAAAGGAACAGCCUAGGAGAGUACAACAUUUCUGUGUCGAAAGGAUUUCUACUAGAAAUCGGGGAGAAAUAAACAAAAUAAUAAAAAGUUAAAAACCCAUUAAGUUUACUUCUUUUUGUAAAGAAAUGAAUUUGACAUCGCUGUUGAUCAGUUCAGAAAUGAUGAUCAUUCUACUUGUUCAUCUUGAAGGAGUCGUUGCGUUUUAAAGUCUUGAUGAUUCUUUGUUUGGUACUUAUGUGUACUUACUCGUACUUCUUUUGUUGUUUGCACAAGGCAUACAGGGCGAGUUAUCAAGACGACAAUUGCAAGAGUUUUCUGUCUCUGUCUCAUGGUUGUAACCAUUGUAACAAGUGAGAAAGAAAGAAAACGAAAUGAAAAAACGAUCAGCUGGUCGACAUUUCGUAGUCUGGUGGAAAUGCAAAAGCCACGAACUAAUCGCCCAUUGUAAACCAAACGUCUGUCAAUGGCUGUGCUGUGCUUAAAGAAAACAAAAUUCUCUACCCCACUUCCAGGUGAGUUGUUAGAUAUUUCUUCUCUUUCUUUGCAUGUGUAGUUACACCGUGUGUUUAGAGAAACGCCUGAAAUCUUGACGACUCCUAGUCUUUUGGGUGUGAGAUUUGCUAUUUCAAUCGUUUCCGUUUUCCUAAAUUUUUUUAAGAAGACCCCUUAACUAACAUGUAUUUUUAAAAUGCACUAGAUCCACCCUUGCACAGACACAAAUAUUGUCUCCACCUUUCAGUACUUUAUUUUCUUGUCACGUUACAUAUUUUGGCGCCAUUUCUGCUGCAAUCGCAUUAGAGUUGGAGGCCUUUGUUGACAUUGUUUUUUUUUAAAUCUUAGCAACAAGCUCCAAAUGUGCAUCUGUUGUAUGGUGUUUUCCCUUUUAAUCUAGAGCUGACAAAUUCUUUUCUCUCAGAUGUGCUUCUUUAGUGUACCGAGUGUUAAUUAGAACAAAGCAAAGCUGGCGUGGCCACAGUGGUUUCCUUCAUGACAAAUUAAUGUAAUUUUUGAAACAUCUCGGUGAAUUUUCAUAGGGUUUCUAUCGUCUUUUCGUUCCUUUCAUCCAAUCCAAAUGUGAUAUUGUUUUAUGUUUUGUUUUCACUGGAUGUUCAAACUGUUCGUCGGUUUUGUUUCCGUUUUGCUAUCAACUGGAGAACGCAGUCUAUCAGCUGAUCUUAGAACUAUAAUUUAAAAUCAUAGCCUACUUUAAUACUGGCCACAAAGCGUACCCUUCUGUGAGGUCCUAUAUUAGCCACCCAACUACCCUCAGCCGAUGGAGACCACGUACCAAUUAGAUCGGCGUGGCCAUUCUCGAAAAGUAUUGUAUUAUCAUAUUUAUUGUAUAUUUUCGAAUAAAUAUUGUGAAUUGCUUAUGUUCUUAUCACCAUUAGCGGUCAA
rnacentral:lncRNA from 1 species